UACGUAGGGGGCAAGCGUUGUCCGGAAUCAUUGGGCGUAAAGCGCGCGUAGGCGGCCCGGUAAGUCCGUUGUGAAAGUCAAAGGCUCAACCUUUGAACGCCGAUGGAUACUGCCGGGCUAGAGUCCGGAAGAGGCGGGUGGAAUUCCUGGUGUAGCGGUGGAAUGCGCAGAUAUCAGGAAGAACACCAAUGGCGAAGGCAGCUCUCUGGGACGGUACUGACGCUGAGACGCGAAAGCGUGGGGAGCGAACAGG
rnacentral:rRNA from 1 species